rnacentral:rRNA from 1 species
CCUACGGGGGGCAGCAGUAGGGAAUAUUGCUCAAUGGGGGAAACCCUGAAGCAGCAACGCCGCGUGGAGGAUGAAGGUUUUCGGAUUGGAAACUCCUUUUGUUAGAGAAGAUAAUGACGGUAUCUAAGGAAUAAGCACCGGCUAACUCCGUGCCAGCAGCCGCGGUAAUACGGCGGGUGCAAGCGUUACUCGGAAUCACUGGGCGUAAAGAGCGCGUAGGCGGGAUAGCAAGUCAGAUGUGAAAUCCUAUGGCUUAACCAUAGAACUGCAUUUGAAACUGUUAUUCUAGAGUAUGGUAGAGGUAGGUGGAAUUCGUGGUGUAGGGGUAAAAUCCGUAGAGAUCAAGAGGAAUACUGAUUGCGAAGGCGGCCUGCUAGAACAUAACUGACGCUGAUGCGCGAAAGCGUGGGGAGCAAACAGGAUUAGAUACCCUUGUAGUC